rnacentral:rRNA from 1 species
GGGAACCUCACCCGGCCCGGACACCGCGAGGAUUGACAGACUGAGAGCUCUUUCUCGAUUCGGUGGGUGGUGGUGCAUGGCCGUUCUUAGUUGGUGGAGCGAUCUGUCUGGUUAAUUCCGAUACGAACGAGACCCCAACCUGCUAACUAGCCCUCGGGUCCUGCUUCUGUUGGGCCCGACGGAAUGAUUCGCUUCUUAGAGGGACUCGCGGCGCCUAGCCGCACGAAGGGGGGCGAUAA